rnacentral:rRNA from 1 species
CACGUAGGGUGCGAGCGUUGUCCGGAAUUAUUGGGCGUAAAGAGCUCGUAGGCGGUGUGUCGCGUCGGCCGUGAAAACCUGCAGCUUAACUGUGGGCGUGCGGUCGAUACGGGCAUCACUGGAGUUCGGCAGGGGAGACUGGAAUUCCUGGUGUAGCGGUGAAAUGCGCAGAUAUCAGGAGGAACACCGGUGGCGAAGGCGGUUCUCUGGGCCUGUACUGACGCUGAGGAGCGAAAGCGUGGGGAGCGAACAGG